GCUCACUAUCAUCACCAAAAAAAAAAUGAAAAAAAAAGAAAUCAAAUAAAAAAGAAACAGUUAAAUCAGACAGUUGGGGCGGUGAAUCUGUCUGGGAUCUUCCCAGUAACAUAGAUGAUUCUUCCACCUCAAAUAGUCUUCCAUUCAUCUGUAUCUCCUUCAUCCAGUACAAAGUCUACUAGAGCCCAAUCUCCUCUUCGUUCUCCAGAAAAGAAGGAUGUCCAAAAGAAGCUCAGAGGUCUUCUGAUUCGAGGUCGCGGGGUAGGGGUCGAGGCGGAGAAAAACCAGCUGCGUGUGGUCCUGGAGAUCGACGACUCUCCUGAC
rnacentral:lncRNA from 1 species